CAGAAACAAAAAGCUCUUCUGGUUCCCUGUCUUCCUCAGCCCCCAUCCAAUCUGCCAGCUAGUUCCUAUCUUUAAGAUCUAGCUGCCUCCAAACCUCCCCAAAUGCAUCUUCUUCUGCGUCUUCACCAUCAGCAGCAUCUCCUGCCUGGACAACGGAGGGACCCUGACUGCUCCAUCUGCAUCCACCCUGCCCCCAACCCCCAUUACCACACAGAAGCCAAGCUUUUCCAAGGAUAUCUUCCUUGCUGGGCUUCCAAUUCUUGGACACACAACUGUAAGGAACUGCCCAAAUCUCAUCCUUAGCGAAGAUCAAACAAGAAUUAAACAAGCAAGUGAUAAACAUCGUAUUGACUUAACCUAACCACAUCAGGUUAAUUCUAAAGGGCAUCUUCUACUGGCUGGUGACGUGGUCUAAUGGAGUGAGUUGAAAUUUCAUCAUAUGCUCAUUGGACAAGCGGGACUCAUAUGCCCAAGCGUUGUUAAUAAAUAAUCUAGAAUUGCCGGACAACUAGGAGAAGCCAAUCUCCAGCAGGACUUAGGAGCAGUAGGGCACACAGUGGCCAUAUCUUGAUUGACACUCUCUUCAAAGGUCUACUAAUCCUAAGAUCUAUGUGAAUUGUUUUAUGACACAAGCAAUGAAAUCAAUGACAUUGCCACAACUUAACGGAAAAAAAAUGGAGUCCCACAGACUCUCCAGGUUCUUUUCCUCAGAGGAAAUUGAUUUGAGUGUCCUUUAGUCAAUGUCUAAAAGCACUGAGGUUCCUAUAACAGAUGAAGCCGCAGCGGUGCAGGCGACAAAUGAAAGGCCCAGGAAGCAUAAACUUUUUACUUAAAAAGCCAACCGGGCUUAACAACAAACAAUCCAUCUCUCCCAAUGAGAAGCUGAGAAAGAUAAGAGUUCUGCUUCAGCUACACCCGUGCACGGACCUGGGAGUAAAAGUUUUCCAUCUUAAAUGCCAAGGACAGGUGUAAACAGAAGCUCAGCGCUUCCUGGGAGGCGGCUUACAAAGAAGAACUAAUCAGAAGCCUUUCAUCUCUGACCCUUUACCUCCAGGUCUAUUCCGGGGCAUGGAGGUGAUGGGGCUGCUGUCCUUUGCGCCCAAGGAAGCGACAGGCAGCCUGCUGAUCAAUAGCUCCUCUGGUAAUGUCUUCAGAACUUAGAAGAGGGCCAGGGAGCAAAGCAGAAAUCAAUACUCGGGUCUAGGGGGAAGGAGGUUAUCGUUGUAUUAAUUUCAUUUCUAGAAAAGAGAGAAAACAACAAAAGCAAACUGACCCCCUUUGUACUCUUUGAGAAAUGAAUGUGCUUUCUGAGGAAGCAUGGAGCUGAGUCUCGGAUUUUAGUCAACCUCAUGCCCAAGGAUUAGGGGACAGGAGAUGAGUGAAGGAUUAAGGUGAGUAACCUACAAAUGCCUAGAAUAAAUAAAUUUACAGGACAGAGAGGAAUUCCUUUUGAAUUGGCCGUAGAGUUGAAUAUUACCUAAGAAAUUAAUUCAAAAAUUAUUUGUGUCCCAGCCCUUUGACCUCCGGUCCACUUGCCUUCAUUGCUUCUUACAUUGAAUAGAUGCUCACUGGCUUUUUUUAGUUUAAAUUUUUAAAAAUUUACAAUUUAACUUCUUAAUAGAAAGAUGUUUGAAAAAAUUUCCUUCAAGAAACACUAAACACUCACCCCAUGAAAUAUUUAAAAUUACAUCAGCACAUAGGUUGUAUCAGGUAGACGUGAAAGGACUGAAUUUGUCUCUUCCAUCUCUGGUAUAUAAAAUGAUUGCAUUCCAU
rnacentral:lncRNA from 1 species